GCGUGAGUGAUGAAGGCCUUAGGGUUGUAAAGCUCUUUUACCCGGGAUGAUAAUGACAGUACCGGGAGAAUAAGCCCCGGCUAACUCCGUGCCAGCAGCCGCGGUAAUACGGAGGGGGCUAGCGUUGUUCGGAAUUACUGGGCGUAAAGCGCGCGUAGGCGGCUAUUCAAGUCAGAGGUGAAAGCCUGGAGCUCAACUCCAGAACUGCCUUUGAAACUGGAUAGCUAGAAUCUUGGAGAGGUCAGUGGAAUUCCGAGUGUAGAGGUGAAAUUCGU
rnacentral:rRNA from 1 species